rnacentral:sRNA from 1 species
UAUCUCUCCGUACGGGGAAGGAUGAGAAGCUUCGACUAAGGUUCGAUUCGAGCGAAAGCGAGAAAGCGUUGCCGCAGGCAACGACCCGAAGGGCGAAGC